UACGUAGGGUGCAAGCGUUAAUCGGAAUUACUGGGCGUAAAGCGUGCGCAGGCGGUUAUGCAAGACCGAUGUGAAAUCCCCGGGCUUAACCUGGGAAUUGCAUUAGUGACUGCAUGGCUAGAGUGUGUCAGAGGGGGGUAGAAUUCCACGUGUAGCAGUGAAAUGCGUAGAGAUGUGGAGGAAUACCGAUGGCGAAGGCAGCCCCCUGGGAUAACACUGACGCUCAUGCACGAAAGCGUGGGGAGCAAACAGG
rnacentral:rRNA from 1 species